rnacentral:rRNA from 1 species
CAUUAUGAGAGUUUGAUCCUGGCUCAGGACGAACGCUGGCGGCGUGCCUAAUACAUGCAAGUCGAACGCUUUUUCUUUCACCGGAGCUUGCUCCACCGAAAGAAAAAGAGUGGCGAACGGGUGAGUAACACGUGGGUAACCUGCCCAUCAGAAGGGGAUAACACUUGGAAACAGGUGCUAAUACCGUAUAACACUAUUUUCCGCAUGGAAGAAAGUUGAAAGGCGCUUUUGCGUCACUGAUGGAUGGACCCGCGGUGCAUUAGCUAGUUGGUGAGGUAACGGCUCACCAAGGCCACGAUGCAUAGCCGACCUGAGAGGGUGAUCGGCCACACUGGGACUGAGACACGGCCCAGACUCCUACGGGAGGCAGCAGUAGGGAAUCUUCGGCAAUGGACGAAAGUCUGACCGAGCAACGCCGCGUGAGUGAAGAAGGUUUUCGGAUCGUAAAACUCUGUUGUUAGAGAAGAACAAGGAUGAGAGUA